GUUGGAGCGGCGGCAGUGGAGGGGACGCGCGGGCUGGCGAACUGACGGGCGGACGGGCCAUGUCGCCCCGCACCUGCUGAACUGGAGCACCCGAGGAUGUCUACGCUGAGGAAGGCCUUCCCACCAUCCGAGGCCCGGCCGUAGCAGCCCGGUUUCCCAGCAGCUGCCUGUGAACACCCGGCCCGCACCGGCUCCGCCACCAUGGGGACUGCUCAGGUUUUGCCCGGCAUUCUGCAGAAGCAUUGCUGUAUCUUACCAGACAGGAACACAGGUCACUUACAGUAAGACAAUUUUCUUAAUUUGUCACUGCAUUCAUCUCCAUAUCUGGAAACUGAAAAAAUUC